AGAGACAGCAGUAGCCGCGGGAACACAGAGGGUGCGAGCGUUAAUCGGAUUUACUGGGCGUAAAGCGUGCGUAGGCGGCUUUUUAAGUCGGAUGUGAAAUCCCUGAGCUUAACUUAGGAAUUGCAUUCGAUACUGGGAAGCUAGAGUAUGGGAGAGGAUGGUAGAAUUCCAGGUGUAGCGGUGAAAUGCGUAGAGAUCUGGAGGAAUACCGAUGGCGAAGGCAGCCAUCUGGCCUAAUACUGACGCUGAGGUACGAAAGCAUGGGGAGCAAACAAGAUUAGAUACCCCUGUAGUCCCUGUCUCUUAUAC
rnacentral:rRNA from 1 species